rnacentral:rRNA from 1 species
GUGGGGAAUCUUGGGCAAUGGGCGCAAGCCUGACCCAGCCAUGCCGCGUGUGCGAAGAAGGCCUUCGGGUUGUAAAGCACUUUCAGUGGUGAAGAAAAGCCAGGGGCUAAUACCCCCAGGUCUUGACGUUAGCCACAGAAGAAGUACCGGCUAACUCCGUGCCAGCAGCCGCGGUAAUACGGAGGGUACGAACGUUAAUCGGAAUUACUGGGCGUAAAGCGCGCGUAGGCGGUUCGGUAAGUGGGAUGUGAAAGCCCUGGGCUCAACCUGGGAACUGCAUUCCAAACUGCCGGGCUAGAGUAUGGUAGAGGGAGGUAGAAUUUCCUGUGUAGCGGUGAAAUGCGUAGAUAUAGGAAGGAAUACCAGUGGCGAAGGCGGCCUCCUGGAUCAAUACUGACGCUGAGGUGCGAAAGCGUGGGGAGCAAACAGGAUUAGAAACCCCAGUAGUCC